rfam:Nomascus leucogenys chromosome 3, whole genome shotgun sequence.
GCUGGGCAUGGUGGUGCAUGCCUGUAAUCCAGCUACUUGGGAGGCUGAGGCAGGAGAAUUGCUUGAACCUGGGAGAUGGAGGUUGCAGUGAGCUGACAUCGUGCCACUGCACCCCUGCCUGGGUGACAGAGCAAGACUCCGUCUCAA